UUUUUUAUGGAGAGUUUGAUCCUGGCUCAGGAUGAACGCUGGCGGCGUGCCUAAUACAUGCAAGUCGAGCGAACAGACG
rnacentral:rRNA from 1 species